AUGGGCAUGGAGACGUUUCACAUCUCCCAGACAAUGUUCAUGGACAGGACAACUUACUCGGAAACCAAUGAGGACCCACAACUUGCGGUCACCGCUGAAGGGACGCCCUUGGUGUUACUUCUGUCAAGACCAGGCCUCCAGCUAAAGGUCUGCACGCGGCAAGAUGGAAGAAAGAGCGAGAAUGGUGCUGUUGCCAAGGCCAUGUGGCUCACCACGCGCACUGUCGAGUUGAAACCACCUAGUCUGAUUAAAAGAAGGCCAGAGAAAAUAUACCUAAGAUUGUUAGGAGAGAAGAGUGGAACGAUGCUACUUAAGGAUAGUCAGAGGCAGAUUUACGUAGCUGACGUUGAGACAGGAGAGAUGGAGGAGUUUGAGUUGCCUGACGGUUUUGAUGGGCUUAAUCGUCGGAAGGUCGUGUUGUUAGAGAUGGACUGGUUGGCGCUAUUUGUUUCCCGGCUCCGGAAGUGGUAG
rnacentral:rRNA from 1 species